rnacentral:rRNA from 1 species
AUUGAACGCUGGCGGCAUGCUUUACACAUGCAAGUCGAACGGUAACAGGUCUUCGGAUGCUGACGAGUGGCGAACGGGUGAGUAAUGUAUCGGAACGUGCCCAGUAGUGGGGGAUAACUACUCGAAAGAGUGGCUAAUACCGCAUGAGAACUGAGGUUGAAAGCGGGGGACCGUUCGGGCCUCGCGCUACUGGAGCGGCCGAUAUCAGAUUAGGUAGUUGGUGGGGUAAAGGCCUACCAAGCCGACGAUCUGUAGCUGGUCUGAGAGGACGACCAGCCACACUGGGACUGAGACACGGCCCAGACUCCUACGGGAGGCAGCAGUGGGGAAUUUUGGACAAUGGACGCAAGUCUGAUCCAGCAAUGCCGCGUGCAGGACGAAGGCCUUCGGUUGUAAACGUAGCUUUGUUACUAGAACGAAAAGGACGUCUGGUUAA